ensembl:snRNA U6 U6 spliceosomal RNA
GCGCUGGCUUCAGCAGCACAUAUACUAAAAUUCGAAUGAUACAGAGAAGAUUAGCAUGGGCCCUGCGAAAGGAUGACAUGCAAAUUCAUGGAUGUGCCAUGAGACCAU